CCCCCAAAAUGAAAACACAUUACACUUUCCCCGUAGACAAAUAGUUAAACAAAAGUGGACUCAGCUCACUGCCUCUCUCUCGAAUCUCAGCUCUCCCUCUCAGAUUUCUCUCUCACGAACACUCUCGAUAACAACAUUGAAGGAUAAAUUGAAGAUCUGGUGAUUAGAGCUUCCAGAUCGGGGCUUUUACUCUCUCACUCAGGUUAAUUGCUCUGCAGUCAUGUAAUUUCUCUGCUCUGCUGAUAAUAUUCUGUGAGUUUGGGCAUCUGCAAUUCUGGGCAUUUAGGGUUCUUCACCACCGAUUGAAUGGAAUGAAGUGUUGUUCAAGAAUCGCUUGGUUCUUCUCUCUCUCUAGAAUUGCUGGGUUGUUGUGCUGGGUUCUCUGUUCUUUUCUGAAUCCGCUGUUGCUCAAUCUUGUUGAGAUGAAGAUUAAGGAACUUAUGCCAAUGGAUGUAAAGUCGAGAAAACUGAUUGAUUGGAUGGAGAAAGGCAAUAGAAGUUCCGAUGACUGAGGAAUAUGCCUGUAAGAGAAGUUCAUCAUCAAAUAAAUUUGUAGACUUACUGCACCGGACUUCUCUUGGCCCGUCGUGUUUUAGAAAAGCUUAAAAUGGAUGAUGAGUAUAAAGGCAAUGUUGAGGCAGCAGGAGAGGAUUAUUCAGUUGAACCUGCGGAAAGCCGAAGACCCUUCUGAGCUCUGCUUGAUGUUGGCCUUUUGAGGACUACUACAGGAAAUCGUGUCUUUGGCCAUGUUUAUGGACUGGAUGAGGAAUCUUGAAGUUGGAAUCCCUGCCCUUCUUGAGGAUGGAAUUCAGAGAUUGUAUAUGCCGGAGAGUAUGACCUCAUUUGUAGCUGGCUUGGUAAGUUGUUACAUACAUUUUAACUACUUGUUAUAAGUUGAUAUUCUCCUGCUGGUUGAUCAUGUAGGGUUCUAGUGAUCUGAAAUGUUAUGACUUAUGAGCACUGCUGGGAAGGCUGAAUAUCACACCCUGUAAAUUGUGGAUUCGGGCAGAGGCCAUGGUAGAAGUGUAAAUGAAACAAAUAUAGGUUCUAUUAUGCAUAAACUAAAAUUACUGAUAGAGCAUGACACAAUAUGCAUUGUGUUUGGCUUCCACCUUGUUAUGGAUGUUUGUAUAAUUUUAGCCUUUUGCUUGUGUACAAAUAGUUGUUAGGAUGUUAUUUAACGAAAUUAUGGUAUUGCGGAUUGAUUAACUAUGGUAUUGCGGAAUGAUUGGUGAAUUGGAUAAAAAAAUUACAUGUGGGAUUAUGAUA